rnacentral:tRNA from 1 species
UAGAAUCUAGUACAUUGGUAGCACGAAGAAUUUUGAAUUCUUAGGGGUAGGUUUGAUUCCUAUGGCUCUAG